rnacentral:rRNA from 1 species
GUACACGCUGUGACAGCAUAUCAAUAAGCGGAGGAAAAGAAACUAACAAGGAUUCCCCUAGUAACGGCGAGUGAAGCGGGAAGAGCUCAAAUUUGAAAUCUUAAAGGGUUUCCCUUUACGAAUUGUAGUUUAAAGAAGUGUUUUCUGUUGAGGUUUUGGUAAAAGUUCUUUAGAAUAGGACAUCAUAGAGGGUGAGAAUCCCGUAUUUGACCUUUACUUUCAACUUUGUGAUACACUUUCAAAGAGUCGGAUUGUUUGGGAAUGCAGUCCAAAAUGGGUGGUAAAUUUCAUCUAAAGCUAAAUAUUGGCGAGAGACCGAUAGCGAACAAGUACCGUGAGGGAAAGAUGAAAAGAACUUUGAAAAGAGAGUUAAACAGUACGUGAAACUGUCAAAAGGGAAGCGUUUGACACCAGUGUUGUUUUUCUGAAAAUCAAUUAAAGAACUGUUUAUGCUAAGUUGUUUAGACUUUAUCAGCUAACUGUUUAGUUUUGAGCUUUUCUUUAAUGCACUUUUCAGUUAACAAGUCAACAUCAAUUUCUUUUGCUGUAAAAAAGCUUGAGGAAGGUGGCUUGAGAUUCGUCUUAAGUGUUUAUAGCCUCUUGCCUAUGCAGUCGGAGAGAUUGAGGUCUGCAGCGUAGAUCCUUCGGGGCUAAAUGCAUUUGUGCUAAGUUAUAGCAUUUUAUAGACAACUUGUUGACUAUGAUUUGUCUUGUAGCUUACUCGCUUAUGUUAUUUUACCUACGCUUAGGAUGUUGAUAUCGCGCUCUCACUG